AAUAGAUACCCGGGUAGUCCACGCCGUAAACGAUGAGUGCUAAGUGUUGGGGGGUUUCCGCCCCUCAGUGCUGCAGCUAACGCAUUAAGCACUCCGCCUGGGGAGUACGGUCGCAAGACUGAAACUCAAAGGAAUUGACGGGGGCCCGCACAAGCGGUGGAGCAUGUGGUUUAAUUCGAAGCAACGCGAAGAACCUUACCAGGUCUUGACAUCCCGGUGACCACUAUGGAGACAUAGUUUCCCCUUCGGGGGCAACGGUGACAGGUGGUGCAUGGUUGUCGUCAGCUCGUGUCGUGAGAUGUUGGGUUAAGUCCCGCAACGAGCGCAACCCUUAUUCUUAGUUGCCAUCAUUCAGUUGGGCACUCUAAGGAGACUGCCGGUGAUAAACCGGAGGAAGUGGGGAUGACGUCAAAUCAUCAUGCCCCUUAUGACCUGGGCUACACACGUGCUACAAUGGACGGUACAAAACGGUUGCCAACCCGGCGAGGGGGGAGCUAAUCCGGAUAAAAACCGUUCUCAAGUUCGGAUUAUAGGCUGCAACUCGCCUACAUGAACG
rnacentral:rRNA from 1 species